rnacentral:misc_RNA from 1 species
AACGCACAUUGCGCCCGCCAGCACUCUGGCGGGCAUGCCUGUCCGAGCGUCAUUUCUACCCUCGGGCCCCCCAGGGGGCCCGGUGAUGGGGUCCGGCCCCGGCCGCCCCCGAAAUGCAGUGGCGACCCCGCCGCGUCCUCCCCUGCGCAGUAGCACAAUCUCGCACCGGAAGCGCGGAGGCGGUCACGCCCGUAAAACGCCCCAACUCAACAGUUGACCUCGGAUCAGGUAGGAGUACCCGCUGAACUUAA